rnacentral:rRNA from 1 species
ACGUCAGUAGAGUUGUAUCGUCGCUCAGGACGAACGCUGGCGGCGUGCCUAACACGAAUGCAAGUCGAACGGAACUUAAGUUGUAAGGAAGUUACUUCGGAAGGACGAUUGGUUAAGUUUAGUGGCGGACGGGUGAGUAACGACGUGAGUAACCUAGCCUCCGAGAGGGGAAGUAACAAUACUGAAAAGAAUUGCUAAUACCGCAUAACAUAGCGAAGUCGCAUGGCAGCGCUAUCAAAGAUUUAUCGCUCGGAGAUGGACUCGCGUCCGAUUAGUUAGUUGGUGAGGUAACGGCUCACCAAGACCGCGAUCGGUAGCCGGACUGAGAGGUUGAACGGCCACAUUGGGACUGAGACACGGCCCAGACUCCUACGGGAGGCAGCAGUGGGGGAUAUUGCGCAAUGGGGGAAACCCUGACGCAGCAACGCCGCGUGAAGGAUGAAGGUUUUCGGAUUGUAAACUUCUUUUAUUAAGGACGAAAAAAUGACGGUACUUAAUGAAUAAGCUCCGGCUAACUACGCG